UACGUAGGGGGGCAAGCGUUGUCCGGAAUCAUUGGGCGUAAAGCGCGUGUAGGCGGCUUGGUAAGUCCGUUCUGAAAGCCCGGGGCUCAACCCCGGGAGGCGGAUGGAUACUGUCAAGCUUGAGUCCGGAAGAGGCGAGUGGAAUUCCAGGUGUAGCGGUGAAAUGCGUAGAUAUCUGGAGGAAUACCGGUGGCGAAGGCGGCAUCCUGGACCGGCAUUGACGCUGAUGAGCGAAAGCUAGGGGAGCAAACGGGG
rnacentral:rRNA from 1 species